CAACUCCGCUGCGGUCCUGCGCAUCUCCUGCCCUCCCCUUCCCCCCCGCCCGACCCCUUCGGGGUCCCUCCGGGCCUUCUGCCCCUGGUCGCCCGAGCUCGCCGCGCUGUCACCCGCCGCUGUCGUCGGGAGGAAAGAUGAAUGGGAGGGCUGAUUUUCGAGAACCGAAUGCAGAAGUUCCAAGACCAAUUCCCCACAUAGGGGCUGAUUACAUUCCAACAGAGGAAGAAAGAAGAGUCUUUGCAGAAUGCAAUGAUGAAAGCUUCUGGUUCAGAUCUGUACCUUUGGCUGCAACAAGUAUGUUGAUUACUCAAGGAUUGAUUAGUAAAGGAAUCCUUUCAAGUCAUCCCAAAUAUGGUUCCAUCCCUAAACUUAUAUUUGCUUGCAUCAUGGGAUACUUUGCCGGAAAGCUUUCCUAUGUGAAAACUUGCCAAGAGAAGUUCAAAAAUCUUGAGAAUUCCCCUCUUGGAGAAGCUUUACGAUCAGGACAGGCACGACGCUCUUCACCAACUGGGCACUAUUCUCAGAAGUCAAAAUAUGACUCAAAUGUGAGUGGUCAUUCAUCUUUUGUGACAUCCCCAGCAGCAGACAAUGCAGAAAAAGAGAUGCUUCCUCAUUAUGAGCCAAUUCCAUUCAGUGCUUCUAUGAGUGAAUCUACUCCCACUGGUAUUACUGAUCAUAUUGCCCAAGGUAGAAACUUCUCUUGAAAUGAAUUUCAGCAUUUUAUGGUCCAACGUAUGUAUAAACUUUAUUUGAUGACCUUUUUUUGCUGGAUAUCACCUGUAUGUUCCACCAUCAGCCUAAACUCAGCAUGUUUGUUUGCUCUUUUGUUCAUUUGAAUUCAUUCUUCAUUUGUUCAACGUUUUUUGAGGUCCAUUAGGUAUCAGCCACUCUGCUAGAUAUGGAAAUAAAGAUGAAUAAGACCUGGUUCUUAGCCCUGAGAAACUCUCUUGCCUGGUAGAAGAUACAGAAGUAUAAGGAUAAAUCAUUAAUAUGUUCCGUUAAUUGAAAAUACUAACCAUGUUUAGUGAAAUAGCAAAGAAGAAAUGAUAGAUCGUGCCUCAGAGAGGCUUUAAAAAGGUUACAUUUGUUAGUGUGGUCUUAAAGGCAACCUUAGCUUCUUGGUAUUGUGAGAAAAAUAAUAAUUACCUGCUUUACAGAACUGUUGUCAAGUGAGAAAAUCCAUGUGAAAGUGCUUUGUGAAGUUUGUGUAAAUACUAGUUUUGAAGAUCACAUAAUUCAAAGUAAACAAAUAUGGAGAUACUUGGGAUGAGUGAAAAAUUGCAUCAUUGGACCUACUGAAGAAGUUUCAAUAUCCAGCUUCAUCUAGGUGGUCAUGAACAUCUGCAUGCUUUGAUCUCAGCAGCAGUCUUCAUAAACACAUUUAAAACUAGAACCUGGGUUUUUGUGGUUUGGCUUAUGAAGAUGAUGUUUUAAAAGCUUACAUUUUAAUGUUAAUAUUGUGUGAAUCUAUUCAUUUUGGGGAACUCUUUGAAUGAUGGUAAUAUACCAUGAUUAUACACAGUUUGUGAAAUUGUUUUAAGUUACAGGGCAAGGAUACUCAGUUAUAAAACUAUGAAGAGAGUGUAAUGCUCUAGAAUCACUGUAUCUGAAAAUAAAUAACUUGCAUGUUGAGUUGGGGGGGAGCAAACAUAAUUUUAAGCAUUAAACUUUACAUCAAAAAUUAUUAAAAAAGCUUUUUGCCAGUGUUUGCUGUAUUCUCUUAAUGUUUAUGGUAAAUAAAAUAUAAAGGAACAUGCAUCUCCAUUGAUUUUAUGGUUUUAUUGUUUGCAGUCUAAGUACAAUUUUAAGUAAGUGGUGUUUUGUAGGGAAAG